AUAUUGGAAGAAAUCACGAUCCUCAAUAAUGGGGAAACGACAGGAGAGAGAGAGAGUUUAAAAUUAGCUUAUAUUGUAGGUAAUUAAAAAAUUCCUUAGGCUCUCCUAUUAAACGGAUUUCAAUGAUUCGAUUUAUUUGUAAGCUUGAAUGCCCCUUCAUGUGUAAAAAAAUUUUCAAGUAUUUAAAACUUUUAUUGGUUCUGGAUAAUUUUGAAAAUGAAUAGGUACAUAAAUUUUUUUCAAAAACUUGGAUUGCAAAAUUAUUUUGUGAAAACUAGACGAACGAGUGUAUCCACAUUUUGUGUAGUGUUUUUUUAUAGAUUUUCUGGAUAAAUUUUGAAGGUUCCUGUGUCUUUUAAAUAUCUGAAAACUAUUAUUGAAAAGCAUGGAUUUUUAACAUUUUUUUUUAAUUUUUUCAAUUUACAAUAAAUUUUAUCUUGUAGGAAAUUUAAUUAAAAAAUUUUUUGUCCUGCUAAAUUUUUAUAAAAUGAAUACCUUCCGAGAUACAGCAACGAAAAGGAGAAAAAAAAUUAAAUUUUUCUUUUUUCUUACAAAUUGUUUAAUAAAAAUUUAGCCCACCUUUUAAAGUGUCCGCAUAGUGAAAUUAUUAUUUCUAAUAUCUUGAAGCGAUUAAAGCAAAAAAUAGGAUCAUAUACGAUUUAACCAAACGAGGCAGUUUUAGAACAAAUACCGUCUGAUCUAUAUUAUAAACCGAUGAUUGAAUGUGGAGUUAGUGAUUAUAGGACGAAUACAAAUAACGGAAUUUUAAUUAAUCUUGUUUUCAGUGGGCGUAAAAUUGCAAAACUCAGAUUUACGUCUAAUAUUUAAUUCAGGAGACUGGUCUACAAACAAGCAGCAUAUUUUAACAUCGAAUCCAUCCAAAACAAAUUAAAAUCAAUCAAAUGCCAAUUUUAAUAAAAAUGCACAAAUACGAACCAAUAUUGAACUUAGGGCUUUUAUGUUUUGUUAUCUAAAUACGAAAUUCGUUCGACAUCAAACAUCUAGAUGUUCUGUAAUAUAUAAUAUGUAGCUUAAGACUAACGAAAAUAGAAUCUUUUGAAUAA
rnacentral:lncRNA from 1 species